CUUUGCCACGGACACGCUCCAUCUCUUGCCACAGGAUCACCUUUGGAAAAGGGAAGGUCUCUGUCACCCUGUUCAGGGUCGGAAAACCAAAGGUUGCUUUUCAACGUUCGCUGGACGACAUCGAACAAACCGUCUCCCAACAGCUGCCUCGCUUUCCCUGUUUGCAAAUGAGGGAUAACAACACCUCUCCAGUCAAGUCCUUGUGCUAAAAACACCACAGAAGACCCGGGGUUGUUGUUGGAGAGGCAGGAAUUCCUGAGCCAGGGCAGGAACAGCCAUUAUUUGCAUCACUUGUAGCUACUGGGUGUUUUCUGAACCAGCCUCACUCCAUCCUGUCAAAGACAGCGCUCCUGGCUGCUCUCCUGGAGGUGCUUCUUCAGCCCAAAGCUGCACGUUAAUGACUUAAUUGCAUGGAAAUUGCUGGAAUCUGUAGCAGGAACCGUGACCCAGGGAUGCUGAAAUCAGGCAUGUAACAACAAAGCCCUCUUACCUCACAACCUCAAAGUUUUGCUGCCAAGAGGAGAAGGAACUGGAAUGAUCUGUACUCGGCCAGCAGCUCAACGGACAUGUUGGAGGAGAUUCCAAGCACCGGUUGCCUGGUUGGCAUUUUCUCCCAGCCACAGGUACAGGUUUUUUAACCCCACUGGAAGUCAGCAGAUGAUCCAGUGUGACCUCCUGCCACCUCCUGCCCGUCCCAAGGAGUUCCUGUGGCACCCAGGCAGGACACAGAGGAUUUUCCUGUUCCCUCAGCUUUUCCCAUCUUUAAUUAUUGCAGCACUUGAACCAGGCGGCUCUUGGAAAAUUCGCUCUUGGAAAAGCAAACAGUGCCGAUGGAUGGCAAACAGAGGACUUCUCCCUGUUGAUUCCCACAGAUUUGGGCUUGUUUAAAGCUUCCAUAAUGAGCUAAAGGAAAUACAGGCACAUUUCAAUUAAAGAGCUACGAUAUCCCUGGGGAAACCUCUCCAAGAAAACUGUGUGAGGAAACAACCUGACUGCUCUCCAGUUUGGGUUUGGAUCCAUGAAAUUAAGUUCUCCUGAAGAAUAAAAUAUUUCCUGUUUUAGACAACUUGGAGCCAAGUGAUGUUGAUCCAUUUUCCUCCAAUAAAGCUCAGGCCGUUGGAUUUAACCCCAGGUUUAACUUUUCCCCAAAGAUCCACCAUAAAAUUGAGGCUUGUUCACUUGGCAUGAAUUUCCCUGUGGUGAUGGAAAGGUUUCAAGGAAUGAAUAUCCAGGAGUACUAAAAAUGACUCUUAGUUUUGAACAGUGAACCACCAAUAACAAGCUCCCAGCCCUGAAGAGCUUUGAGUGUUCCUACUCCAUUUUUAAGCUGCAUCCACAUCGUUGGAAGUGUCCAAAAAAAACCAAAAAACCACGUGGAAGUGGCACCUGAGGAUACGGUUUUCAGAGUCACAGAAUCAUCAGAGUGGGAAGGGACCUCUGGGGAUCACCCAGUGCUGGUCUGAUGGUUGGACUUGAUGAUCUUGGAAGUCUUCUCCCACCUGAACAAUCCUAAGAUUCCAUGAUUUUGAAGUUCCAUCCCACCCCACUUUUAAAUCUCCUGCUUGGUUUGGGAACUGCUGUUGCACACUGGGUUGGACAAUGUGUUGGACAGGCUGGACAAGCUGAAUUGUAGAAAAAAAGUCCCUUUAAUAACAGUGGAGUCGAUGUCCCAAAACCUGACGACUCCCAAGGGACUGGGGAUGGGAUUCAGGACAAGAGCAGUGAGGAAUUAGAAGGAUCUCCUCACCUUUCCAAUGGAUAAAGAGACAAAUCGCAGCAAAACUUCCAUGACAGGGGGUGAAGACUGUCAGGAUUUGUAUCCCAGCUCCCUGGAUUUUUCCAGACCCCUCUGCAAUGCCCCUGGGGUGGGGGACAGGAAAGAAUUCCCCAUCCUGUGGGACCCCUGAGCUUUUCUCCACA